GGGGACAGCCCCUCGGAAAGCCGACGCUUAAAAAAAGGCGGUCAACGGUCAAAAUAAAUAUGACCCGUUGACCAACAAUUCAAAAUUGGUCUGCUGCAUGCAGAGAGUGCAGAGAGACUUUACUCUCUCUCUCUCUCUCUCGACCUCUCAGGACUGUCUCGCCCGACGACUGUGUGAGCCAGUUCGAGUUCGUCGAGGAGAACGGCGCGCACUGCUAGCAGCACCGGCAGCUCCAUCCCGGCGUCGUCGACCAGCCUGCAGCUUUCUCGUUGUCCAAGUUCAGUCCCGCGGCCACAAUCCUCGACGGCAGGCCCGGCACAGCGGAGCUGAGCAGCUCUCAGCCCCCUGCUCGUGCCGAGCUGAAGCUCCAGGGCGCCCGCCCAACCUCGGCCUAUUGCUAGCCCGCACCCGAGAAGUGCUUGCAGCUCGAUCCCCACACAUCCCCUGCUCGAGUCGCACUGCCCACUAGCUGUAGCUCGGCCGCGUGCGCCGCCUCGCAGAUUUGCCCGUCUCUCCCCGGCAUUGAGCUCGGCCGCCCCGGAUCUGUUCGUGGAUCGUCUAAAGGAGUCUGACCCCUGUUACACUUGUUGCUAAGCUGCAUUAAAGCUUCAAAUUCUACUGGAGUAGUAGCAGAUCCAAAUGCAAUUUGGGUUGAUGAGAAUCCAUUAGAUAGGUACAUGGACAUGGUCUAUGAUGCGGUGACACGACAUUAUGGGCAUGAAAUGCAAUUAGGAUCUUCGAUGUUUGUUGUUGAGGAGCCAAAUGCAGAGGCCCAAGAGUUUUACGAGCUUUUGGAGCAAUAUAAUAAGCCAGUAUGGUGGGGUUUGGACCAAUACUCUCCAUUGAGUAUCGCCACUAGAUUACUCAACGUCAAAAGCGAUUACAAGGUGCAAAUUCUGUGGUGCCAAGAGGUACAAAUUAGGCGAAGAAAGACAGGAUUCCGAAGAACUAUUAUGAGGCGGAGAAGUUAGUGUCAUCUCUUGGAUUGAGCACCGUAGUUUUCUGUUAUUGUCCAAAAGCUUGCAUGUUGUACUAUAAGGACGACUCUAAUUGUACUAGGUGCAAAUUAUCUGGUGUCGAGAGGUAUAAACGUAGUUUUGAUGCUAAAGGCAAAUUUAAGGUAAAGGUGAGGAAAAAAAUUCACUACUUGCCUCUAAUCUCGAGACUAAAAAAGCUCUAUGCAUUUCCUACCUUGGCAAGCAAUAUGAGAUGGUACUACAAGAACUGUCGCCCUAGUAAUGUUAUAUGAGCACUUCGACGAGGUACACUCGGAUUUCCGAUCUGACCCUCGUAAUGUUGGGCUCCAAUUAUGGGCACUACGGGUAUGUUUUAUGCUUGCCUCGUUGGAAGAUUAAAAGUGCACUACGAUAAUUAUCUUUCUUAAUUUGAAUAAUAUAAAAUUUUUUAUUGAUUCAUUGAUUUCGUUCAGGGCACCAAGAUGGUUAUGGCAGUUCUGAGGAGCUACAUCAAUCGUUUUUAUAAACUGGACCACCCAAUAGUCAAAUUCCAUAGAGAUGUCCCAGGCGUGGGGAAUGAGUUCUUAUAUGGAGAGUGGAAGAUACGUUUGUUUUGAAUAAUAUACCGUAUUUUUGUUGUUGUUAAAUUGAUAACUAAUUGAUUAUUCAUAUGUAGAAAUUGGUUUACUUCGACCCGCGAUACGAGGGAUAUAUGAAGAAAGCUUUCAUGCAUAGGUGUGGCACCCAACUACUUGGUUUGUAUGGCGACCACCAGCGGGGUAAUUCGAAAAGCGGAUUUUGUUGGAGAAGCUCAUUUGGCAGAGUUGGAGGCGGCAUGGAAGAGGGACACAUUCCUUCGAGAAGGGGACAGAAACAUGGCCAAUCGUAACUCCAAUGCCAGAGCUUCUAUCCAUUGUAGUGGAAGUGUAUAUUUCGAUAGUCUUGCUUAUCGAGAAGUCUCCUAAAAUAUCAACUUGUUUGGUUUCACAAACCGAUUUUAACU